UGGGGAAUCUUGGACAAUGGGGGCAACCCUGAUCCAGCCAUGCCGCGUGAGUGAAGAAGGCCCUAGGGUCGUAAAACUCUUUCAACUGUGAAGAUAAUGACGGUAGCAGUAGAAGAAACCCCGGCUAACUCCGUGCCAGCAGCCGCGGUAAUACGGAGGGGGUUAGCGUUGUUCGGAAUUACUGGGCGUAAAGCGUACGUGGGCGGAUUAAUAAGUUAGAGGUGAAAUCCCAGGGCUCAACCCUGGAACUGCCUUUAAAACUGUUAGUCUUGAGAUCGAGAGAGGUGAGUGGAAUUCCAAGUGUAGAGGUGAAAUUCGUAGAUAUUUGGAGGAACACCAGUGGCGAAGGCGGCUCACUGGCUCGAUACUGACGCUGAGGUACGAAAGUGUGGGGAGCAAACAGGAUUAGAUACCCUGGUAGUCCACACCGUAAACGAUGAAUGCCAGACGUCAGCAAGCAUGCUUGUUGGUGUCACACCUAACGUAUUAAGCAUUCCGCCUGGGGAGUGCGGUCGCAAGAUUA
rnacentral:rRNA from 1 species